rnacentral:rRNA from 1 species
AGAGCACGUGAAAUCGGUAAGGUGGAAACGGAUAGAGUUAACGUAUCUGAUUUGUGUUCAGCUGUUAAUUGUUUGUAAUGUAUAAUUUUAAAAGUGUGUUAGUAGUUUACUGCCGUACAUUGCUUUUUAGUUUACAUCUGCAUCAAUUAGCGGUGCAUUUACAAAUCUAUGUGCGCUGGAACAUGUGCGUGGGUUGCUGGAUUCACAAGAAGAUCUUUACAAUUUAUUGUAUUGAGCAAACUUGUUGUUAUAAGGCAAUUCUGCGUGCAUGUCUAAUGAUUUUUUGGGGUAUGGCAUUAGCGAAUGCAUUUUGUGUAUGGUUUUGCAGCGUAUGUCGGUCGCUUGCGACACGUAUAUUGUUUUGCAAAAAAUUUAAUAUACAUUUUGCUUCACUUGCCCGCUUCCAGUGUAAAAGUUAAUUAUCUAUCCGACCCGUCUUGAAACACGGACCAAGGAGUUUAACGUAUACGCGAGUCAUUGGGUGAUAAAACCUAAAGGCGUAAUGAAAGUAAAUUAGUGUUUUUAACACACUAUUAUAUGCGAUCUUAUAUAAUUAAUUUUAAAUAGGCGCAGCAUAGCCCCGUUCAAAUUGCAUGCA